CUGCCGCCUUGCAGUUUGACCUCAGACUGCUGUGCUAGCAGUCAGCGAGACUCCGUGGGCGUAGGACUUUCUGAGCCAGCUGACAUCCUAAGGAACAUUAUCUUUUGAGGGCACAAUCUUUCACUUGCAUCCUCUAUGGUAAUGCACCUAAAUCUGGAUCCAAGAUCUUAUAAAUACACCAGGGAUUCAGUCUAGGUUCUGAUGCUCACUUCACCAUCAUUGAGAUGAAGAAUAUUGCCAGAUGUGGAACCUGCAGAUGCAGGGGGCUGACUUAAGAGACGAGGAUCCACAGACGCUGACAUCCAUGGUGGGUAUUGGUUCAAAUUCCUGGUGAAUGCUAAGAGAUAACUGUAUUUGUUUUGUAAAAGAGUUAAAAUUUUUAGAAAAACAUUAAUUAAAAACCUAUCUAAUAAGUGAGAAACUUUUGAUUUGCAUAGUAAUUAUUGUAUAUGUCAUAGCAUUAAUUAUUAACAGUACAUAUCUCAAUACGUUUGUACUUUUAAAACAAUUUUGCCACUAGGCAAGAUAGCAAGAUGACAAUGAAUGUGAUGUAGAUUAUCUAGAACAGCAGUUCACUGGCACUUUAGUAAAAGGGCUUAGAAGAACGUGGAAAUUGAAUUAUAUGAGUUACUUCUUCAUUAGUAUCCCCAACAAAGGCCACUCUGUCCUCAUAUAUUGGUAAAAACGUGGAGGCAAGGCAUAGAGAAUGAUGGUGCAUUAAGGAGCCCAUCUGUAUAUGGGAAAACAGUUCAUUUUCAAUGUUGGAAUUAAAUUCUAUGCAUAAGAUGGACAACUUUAGGAAAAUAACUUGGCAAGAAAUCAUCAAGUCAGUAUUAUUUUGGCGUCAUUACUACUUUGGAUGAUAUGGGCUCCUGGCCUUGUUUAUACCACACUUGUUCUCUUCUUCACCCUCAGUUACUGGCUUCCUGUCUUCCUGCAUCCACCCACAUGCUUAAGUGUCUGCUCUUGCCCCUGCCUUAGCACUAACGAUUUAUUUAAAAACAUGCUAAAAGAGUAAACUAAACUAAUUCAUCUAAGAGACCAUUCAGACCAUCAUAUUUUGCACAUGCUUUUUUAUAUCUUACCAUUAGAAUUAUAAACCUUCUAGGUCAUUCAUCAUGAUCUAAUCUCAUAUAACUAUACAUUUUUGUUUAUUGUCUUACCAGAGUCUAUCAUUUAUGUAUCUGGGAGAUACAUAUAUCCAAAAAAGAUACAGUAUGCCUUCAGGAAGUCAUAAUAUACUAGCUAUAAUAUCUCCUAUAUUCAUUCUUCAAAGUUCUUUUUGUUCUUAAUAAAACUGAAUUCAGGCUGCCAAGUGAAGACACUGGGUGCCAGCUUCUGAAGGUGAUACUUCUAUUUUUCUCCUCCACAUUAUGUGCCACAUAACCCAAAGAUGUGCUGCUUGCUCUCUGUGUCUCCUCCCCCUUUUCAUUACCCACUUACAUACUGUAUUCCUCUCUUCUCACUUAAAAUGUCCAAUUAGGUUGAAGUCAUUCAUUAUGACUUCAAUAUCGAUGGAGACGAUAUAGCAAACACCUGGUGUCUGUGUUCUUUUUACUUCCUCAUUUCUAAAGACCUUUUCCUUCUCUUAACCUCAGCCUCUUACUCUUCAUUUGGUGAUUUGCUAUUUAAUGACAACAAAAUAUAGGUAUACCACCUCUGAAAUUCAUAAUUUAAGUAUCUCACUCUGUUAAUAACACCACUUAACUUUCAAGCUAUCUUUUAAUCUUUCUCCCAUGUCAAUUUUUUUUCAAACUUCUGGCGACUUUCAGUCAUUAUCUACCAUUACCUAUGUCCUCUCUUCUAUCUUUAAACUGCUUGAUUUUGUAGUCUAUUACUAUAGCCAUUCAAUUAAUUGAAAGUAUUCUUACUUCAGUGGCCUUUUUUACUUAUAGAAACAACUCUAUUUAAACUAUUUUUUUUUUUGAGAUGGAUUUUCACUCUUUCACCCAGGCUGGAGUGCAGUGGCACAAUCUCGGCUCACUGCACCCCCCGCCCUCCGGUUUGAAGUGAUUCUCCUGCCUCAGCCUCC
rnacentral:lncRNA from 1 species